GCUCCUUUCAGUGGAGCACAUAUUAACAUUGGAAAAAUACACAAAUUAGCAUAUCCCAAGCGCUACAAUGACAGGCAAAUUUAUGAAGCAUUCCAUUUCAUG